rnacentral:rRNA from 1 species
AUUGAACGCUGGCGGCAGGCUUAACACAUGCAAGUCGAGCGGGGUGAUGGUGCUUGCACUAUCACUUAGCGGCGGACGGGUGAGUAAUGCUUAGGAAUCUGCCUAUUAGUGGGGGACAACAUCUCGAAAGGGAUGCUAAUACCGCAUACGUCCUACGGGAGAAAGCAGGGGAUCACUUGUGACCUUGCGCUAAUAGAUGAGCCUAAGUCGGAUUAGCUAGUUGGUGGGGUAAAGGCCUACCAAGGCGACGAUCUGUAGCGGGUCUGAGAGGAUGAUCCGCCACACUGGGACUGGGACACGGCCCAGACUCCUACGGGAGGCAGCAGUGGGGAAUAUUGGACAAUGGGGGGAACCCUGAUCCAGCCAUGCCGCGUGUGUGAAGAAGGCCUUCGGGUUGUAAAGCACUUUAAGCGAGGAGGAAUGGCUCUUGGUUAAUAACCUUGAGCAGUGACGUUACUCGCAGAAUAAGCACCGGCUAACUCUGUGCCAGCAGCCGCAGUAA